rnacentral:rRNA from 1 species
GACGAACGCUGGCGGCGUGCUUAACACAUGCAAGUCGAACGGAAAGGCCCUGCUUUUGUGGGGUGCUCGAGUGGCGAACGGGUGAGUAACACGUGAGUAACCUGCCCUUGACUUUGGGAUAACUUCAGGAAACUGGGGCUAAUACCGGAUAGGAGCUCCUGCUGCAUGGUGGGGGUUGGAAAGUUUCGGCGGUUGGGGAUGGACUCGCGGCUUAUCAGCUUGUUGGUGGGGUAGUGGCUUACCAAGGCUUUGACGGGUAGCCGGCCUGAGAGGGUGACCGGCCACCUUGGGCCUGAGAUACGGACCAGUCUCCUACGGGAGGCAGCAGUGGGGAAUAUUGCACAAUGGGCGGAAGCCUGAUGCAGCAACGCCGCGUGCGGGAUGACGGCCUUCGGGUUGUAAACCGCUUUCGCCUGUGACGAAGCGUGAGUGACGGUAAUGGGUAAAGAAGCACCGGCUAACUACGUG